AGUACAUUUUUGCGCAUCAUCAUUUAGUGUGGUGUAUGUUCACCAUCUUAUUUAUCAUCGUUAGAUGAAUUUUAAUUUUGAGAUUUAUUCCUAUCCAGUACACGAAUCUCGAAAUUGAAACUCAUCUAAUGAUGAUAAAUAGAAUGGUAAACAAACACCACACUAAAUGGUGAUGAGCAAAAAUGCUCC
rnacentral:pre_miRNA from 1 species